CCACUGCUUGGUCGAUGAAAGUGAGGAGGUUGUUGUAGUAUCCCUCCACAUUCAGCAACCCAACCUGAGGAAGAGAAUUUGCACAAGGAACUUAAAGGUUGGGAGAUCAAAACAGAACUUUCUUGCAGAGUUUAAUGAGAUUUGGUGGUGUCAAUAUGUAUGGUACGUGUCAAAAAAGGAUAAAGGGUGAGGAUGGUUUCGUAUUGAAGGGGGUCACAGGAGCAAAUGAUCCAAUAGGGAAAAUUAAUGGCCACAGAAAGAAAAGAAAAGGCCCUACUCUGUUUUUUGUUUUUCUUUUUUUGGUGUCAAUUUAUGUUUCCCAAAAGUCUAAAAGAGUCUCAAGUCUAGUAUCCCUAUAGAGUCUGAAAACAUCAGUACUCUGUCUUUUAGACUCUUUCUAUCUGUCUGGUUUCUGGAGCAGAACAAUCAUAACUUGAUGGAUAAAUUGCUCAAAACACGUGCAGACCCCA